rnacentral:rRNA from 1 species
AGUGAACGCUGGCGGUAGGCCUAACACAUGCAAGUCGAACGGCAGCACAGUAAGAGCUUGCUCUUACGGGUGGCGAGUGGCGGACGGGUGAGGAAUACAUCGGAAUCUACUUUUUCGUGGGGGAUAACGUAGGGAAACUUACGCUAAUACCGCAUACGACCUACGGGUGAAAGCAGGGGAUCUUCGGACCUUGCGCGAUUGAAUGAGCCGAUGUCGGAUUAGCUAGUUGGCGGGGUAAAGGCCCACCAAGGCGACGAUCCGUAGCUGGUCUGAGAGGAUGAUCAGCCACACUGGAACUGAGACACGGUCCAGACUCCUACGGGAGGCAGCAGUGGGGAAUAUUGGACAAUGGGCGCAAGCCUGAUCCAGCCAUGCCGCGUGGGUGAAGAAGGCCUUCGGGUUGUAAAGCCCUUUUGUUGGGAAAGAAAAGCAGCAGGUUAAUACCCCGCUGUUCUGACGGUACCCAAAGAAUAAGCACCGGCUAACUUCGCG